GCCGGAUUAGCUCAGUUGGUAGAGCAGCGGUUUUGUAAACCGAAGGUCGGGGGUUCAAAUCCCUCAGCCGGCACCA
rnacentral:tRNA from 1 species